UACGAAGGGUGCAAGCGUUACUCGGAAUUACUGGGCGUAAAGCGUGCGUAGGUGGUUUGUUAAGUCUGUUGUGAAAGCCCCGGGCUCAACCUGGGAAUGGCAAUGGAUACUGGCAGGCUAGAGUGCGGUAGAGGGUAGUGGAAUUCCCGGUGUAGCGGUGAAAUGCGUAGAGAUCGGGAGGAACACCAGGUGGCGAAGGCGGCGUCCUGGCCGAGCACUGACACUGAGGCGACGAAAGCGUGGGGAGCAAACAGGGAUUAGAACCGUACCUACGUAGAUCC
rnacentral:rRNA from 1 species